GGAUAUUGGGCAAUGGGGGAAACCCUGACCCAGCGACGCCGCGUGAGGGAAGACGGUCUUCGGAUUGUAAACCUCUGUCUUUGGGGACGAAAAAGGACGGUACCCAAGGAGGAAGCUCCGGCUAACUACGUGCCAGCAGCCGCGGUAAUACGUAGGGAGCGAGCGUUGUCCGGAAUUACUGGGUGUAAAGGGUGCGUAGGCGGGCUUUUAAGUCAGCGGUAAAAAUUCGGGGCUCAACCCCGUCCGGCCGUUGAAACUGGGGGCCUUGAGUGGGCGAGAAGAAGGCGGAAUGCGUGGUGUAGCGGUGAAAUGCAUAGAUAUCACGCAGAACCCCGAUUGCGAAGGCAGCCUUCCGGCGCCCUACUGACGCUGAGGCACGAAAGUGCGGGGAUCGAACAG
rnacentral:rRNA from 1 species